rnacentral:rRNA from 1 species
UACAGAGGGUGCAAGCGUUAAUCGGAAUUACUGGGCGUAAAGCGUGCGUAGACGGUUACAUAAGUCGGGUGUGAAAGCCCCGGGCUCAACCUGGGAAUUGCAUUUGUGACUGCACGGCUAGAGUGUGUCAGAGGGGGGUAGAAUUCCACGUGUAGCAGUGAAAUGCGUAGAGAUGUGGAGGAAUACCGAUGGCGAAGGCAGCCCCCUGGGAUAACACUGACGCUCAUGCACGAAAGCGUGGGGAGCAAACAGG